rnacentral:rRNA from 1 species
GACGAACGCUGGCGGCGUGCUUAAUACAUGCAAGUCGAACGGAAAGGCCCUGCUUUUGUGGGGUGCUCGAGUGGCGAACGGGUGAGUAACACGUGAGUAACCUGCCCUUGACUUUGGGAUAACUUCAGGAAACUGGGGCUAAUACCGGAUAGGAGCUCCUGCUGCAUGGUGGGGGUUGGAAAGUUUCGGCGGUUGGGGAUGGACUCGCGGCUUAUCAGCUUGUUGGUGGGGUAGUGGCUUACCAAGGCUUUGACGGGUAGCCGGCCUGAGAGGGUGACCGGCCACAUUGGGACUGAGAUACGGCCCAGACUCCUACGGGAGGCAGCAGUGGGGAAUAUUACACAAUGGGCGGAAGCCUGAUGCAGCAACGCCGCGUGCGGGAUGACGGCCUUCGGGUUGUAAACCGCUUUCGCCUGUGACGAAGCGUGAGUGACGGUAAUGGGUAAAGAAGCACCGGCUAACUACGUG